UACGGGGGGGGCAAGCGUUGUUCGGAAUUACUGGGCGUAAAGGGCGCGUAGGCGGUUUGCUAAGUUGGAUGUGAAAACUCUGGGCUUAACCCAGAGCCUGCAUCCAAAACUGGCUGACUUGAGUACUGGAGGGGAGAGCGGAAUUCCUGGUGUAGCGGUGGAAUGCGCAGAUAUCAGGAGGAACACCAAUAGCGAAGGCAGCUCGCUGGGACGUAACUGACACUGAGGCGCGAAAGCGUGGGGAGCGAACAGG
rnacentral:rRNA from 1 species